rnacentral:rRNA from 1 species
AACGAACGCUGGCGGCAUGCCUAACACACGCAAGUCGAACGAACCCUUCGGGGUUAGUGGCGCACGGGUGCGUAACGCGUGGGAAUCUGCCCUUUGCUUCGGAAUAACAGUUAGAAAUGACUGCUAAUACCGGAUGAUGUCUUCGGACCAAAGAAUUAUCGGCAAGGGAUGAGCCCGCGUAGGAUUAGGUAGUUGGUGGGGUAAAGGCCUACCAAGCCGACGAUCCUUAGCUGGUCUGAGAGGAUGAUCAGCCACACUGGGACUGAGACACGGCCCAGACUCCUACGGGAGGCAGCAGUGGGGAAUAUUGGACAAUGGGCGCAAGCCUGAUCCAGCAAUGCCGCGUGAGUGAUGAAGGCCUUCGGGUCGUAAAGCUCUUUUACCAGGGAUGAUAAUGACAGUACCUGGAGAAUAAGCUCCGGCUAACUCCGUGCCAGCAGCCGCCGUAACAC